CAAUAAAGGGAAUUGCUUAGUCCACAUACCAAUUAUGUUUCUACGUUCAUAAGAGAUUUUUCUAAUCAAAAAAUUAAACUGUGAAAAAUAGACACCUAUUUCUUUUCCAGCCCUUCCAGAAUGAGAAUGCAUUUGGGCUCUCUGCCCAGUUCUGAUCUGUAAGCUGCCUCCUCAGUUCCUCAACUCCAUGCAGCCCAGAUCCCACCCCAGCUUUCAGGCCUUCUACUCACCCCUGGGGGAAAAUGAGAGGCUGGAAAAACAGCAUGAUGUUCUGCUGAACCCAAAAUAACCUUGAACUCAGCAAACAGACCAAACUGAUGGAAGAACCCCAGGUCAUUUUCAGGCUCUUUACCAUAUUAAGUCCAAGCUGUCCUCUUCUGGACACCGGAUAGACUGUGGCUCUGCUCCCUGGCUCCUCUCCUGGUCGACACCACACUUGCCUACCCUCUGGCCCACUCAUCUUCCUCUGGCCAUGCUGUUGUGCAAAUAUCAUGGACACACAGGACUCCUGAGA
rnacentral:lncRNA from 1 species